rnacentral:lncRNA from 1 species
UUAAACAACAUUGCUAUGGUGUCAAGGUGGUUCGGCAGGCCCAGCUCAAGAUGGUUCGGUUAGCCAACCGCAUAGGGUAGAUAGACUAGAUAAAUAUUCUCUGUAACAAUAUUCUCUCUCUAGUUUAUCCCUUGUACUCCAAGUAGCUUAUCCCUUGUAUCUCAAGUCUCUAUCCCAACAGCUUGUAUGCUAUCAGGGAGUCGCGCCCCUGUCUUUAUAACACGAAGCCGUCGCCCUGAACCGGGUACGACGUUUCCCACAUGAUAAUCAGAGCCUAACUCUUCCAUCGCAUCUAGGUUUUUCUCCUCCACCGAAAACCUCCUACCAUGGCUUCCUCCAGCUCCUCCAACCCUACCCUCUCUGGCCAAGUCACCGAGCGUCUCACGCGCACCAACUACAUCCUAUGGCGUACCCAGAUCACGCCACAACUCCGCGGUGCUGGCUUCUUCGGGUACGUGGACGGGAGCAUGGUGGAACCAGCCAAGGUCAUCGUCUCCAAGGACAAAGAUGGCAAGGAGGAGACCACCCCGAAUCCUCUACAUCAACUUUGGACCAGGGAAGACAAGCAGGUACUGGGUUAUCUUCUGAAUAAUCUGUCCAAAGAAGUACGCAUACAGGUGACCGCGAUCACCCACGCGCAUGAGUUGUGGAUGGCGCUGGCGAGGAUGUUCUCGUCAACCUCGAUGUCCUGCGUCAACAACAUCCGCGCCGCUCUCAUGAACGCGCAGAAGGGGACACAAUCGGUGGCCACGUACUUUGCGCACAUGCGCUCCCUCGCCGAUGAACUUGCCACAGCGGAGCGGCCAUUGAAGGAGGACGAGCUGAUCUCCUACACCCUCAAUGGCCUCGACAUGGACUACCAGCCGCUAGUCUCUGCCCUUGACGCCCACACCAUCCUGGUCACCCUUGAUGAAUUGUUUACUCAGAUGAGUAACUUUGAUCAAAGGGUAGCUUUGUUCCAAGGGGCAGGGACCGGAGGAGGUUUCAAGUCUUCGGCAAACAUCGCCACCCGCGGCCGCGCCGGUGGCGGCUCUCGCUACCGUGGACCUCCUCGUCAGAAGGGCAAGAGCUCCGGCGGGGGCAACAGCACCGGCCAGAACAGCGGCAACAUGCACGGCGGCAGCCGGCCCUCCUCCAAAAACAAUAGGGGCCGGCGCACCAGCUCCUCCAACAGCAACAGAUCGCGCCCGGACGCUGUUCGGUGCCAAAUCUAUGGCAAGCUGGGCCACUCAGCUAAAGAUUGCUAGUACCGGUUUGAGGAUGAUGAUGACGCAUCGUCCCAGGAUGAAAAAGUGGCCGGGGUAGCAGAAGCCUCAUAUGGUGUUGACAUGAACUGGUACGUCGACAGCGGAGCCACGAACCACAUCACUGGUGAGCUGGAAAAGGUGACCAUGCGCGAGAAGUAUCGCGGCCAAGAUCAUAUCCACACUGCUAGUGGAGAAGGUAUGAAGAUUGGUCACAUUGGUCAUUCUGUUAUUAAAACCCCUCAGAGAAAAAUUCAUCACAGAAAUUUUUUGCAUGUUCCUAGUGCUUCCAAGAGCCUUCUUUCCGUUCAUAGAAUUGCCAUUGAUAAUCAUGUCUUUCUUGAAUUUCACCCCUUCUUCUUUUUGAUCAAGGAUCAGGCCACGAGGAGGGUGCUAUAUCGAGGUAGAUGUGUUCGCGGGCUUUACCCAUUGAUUCCGGAGAUUCAAAGAUUCAAUAAACAAGUUUUUAGUGCCACCAAAGUCUCAUCUACACGGUGGCACGAUCAAUUAGGACAUGCAUCUUUUUCUUUAGUUGAGCCUUUGCUUAGGAAAAAUAAGCUCCCAUAUGUUGGAGAGCUUGAUGUUGAAACAAUUUGUGAUUCCUGCCAGAGAGCUAAAAGUCAUCAGUUGCCUUAUCCUAUUUCUGCAAGUAUUUCUACCAAGCCUUUGCAACUUAUUUUUUCUGAUGUGUGGGGACUCGCUCCCUCCUCUGUUGGUAGACAUACAUACUACAUGAGUUUCAUUGACGACUAUAGUAAAUUUACCUAGAUCUAUCUUCUUAAGAAAAGAUCAGAUGUAUGCCAAGUUUUUCUCAAUUUCCAAGCUUUAGUUGAAAGGAAAUUCGACACCAAAAUCAUUGCCCUCCAAUCUGAUUGGGGUGGAAAAUACGAGAAACUAAAUUCCUUCUUUCAAAAACUUGGCAUCUCUCACCAUGUGUCGUAUCCCCAUGCCCAUCAACAGAAUGGGUAUGUUGAACGCAAACACAGACACAUUGUCGAAGUUGGCUUUGCCCUUCUUGCUGGCGCCUCCCUGCCCUUAAAAUUUUGGGACGAGGCUUUUCUCACGGCUGUCCAUAUCAUUAAUAUGCUACCUAGUCGUGUUAUCAACAAUGAAACUCCCACCGAAAGGCUUCUCCACACCAAACCAGACUACACUUCUCUCCGUGUGUUUGGAUGCGCCUGUUGGCCCAAUCUUCGCCCUUACAAUGAUCGAAAACUCAGUUUUAGAUCCAAACAAUGUGUGUUCAUUGGUUAUAGUGCCCAACACAAAGGCAUCAAGUGUCUUGAUGUUUCAACCGGACGCGUUUAUAUCUCACGGGAUGUUGUUUUUGAUGAAACUAAGUUUCCCUUUGCCACCCUUCAUCAUUAUGCCGGUGCCCUACUUCGUCAAGAAAUUCUUCUCUUACCAUCUAGUAUCACCGGUCUUGAUCAAGGGGGAAAUAAUUGUAAUGAUCAUAUGAUGACUAAUCCUCAUAACCGUGCACUUGAGCUUUGUGAUGAUGCAGAUGGCAAUGGAGCAGAAAAUGGCGAAGGAAUCACAGAAAAUGGUGAAGAAAUCACCCCAAACAGUUCACAUUUUAUGUGUCACACAGCAGGGAACAGAUCCUCUCAGGAUCGGAGCUCCAGCAGCGUGGCAGCAGAUCAGCUCCGGGAUCCGUAUCGUAGUAGUGCACCAGCGCGGCAGAUCCCGUGUCGCCCGCCAAGCGCGGCGACAGCGACCCAGCGACGGCCACGCGGCUCACCCCAACUGGGCCAGAAGCGGCGUCCGGCCCGCGCCAAUCCUUGGAGGCCACACGGCAAGAGCCCCCGGCCCGCUGGCCCGCGGGCGGACCCCGCCACUACAUGCGCCGCCAGCAGCUGGGCGCCCAAUCCGGCGCGGAUUCGCCCCAGCCCAUGACAGGCAUGCGAUCCGAGGCGGAUCCGGUCAGGCCCGUGUCCUCCGCGCGUCCUGGAUCUUCUGCGCCUUCUGUCACGGCUCCAGCAUCACCCGUCGCCGUAGAAAAUCCUGCUGACCCAACUGCUGGCGCGGUUGGUGCGUCGGAAGCACCAUGGGGAUCUGCCUCGGGAUUGUCCGGCCCAGAGGCUGGAUCUUCUGUGUUCGCCAACGAUGCUACCUCGUCUGUCCAACCUCGUACACGGCUUCAGAAGGGAGUAAUCCAACCCGUCAAUUACAAACAAAUAACUAAGUUUGGUUAAGCGUGUACCACAGGAGAACCCAGUACGCUUGAUGAAGCUCUCGGGGAUACACGCUGGAAAAAGGCCAUGGAAGAGGAAUACAUGGCACUUCAGAAAAAUAAGACGUGGCAUCUUGUGUCUCCACAGCGAGGUAAAAAUUUGAUUGAUUGUAAGUGGGUUUAUAGGAUCAAAAGAAAGUCCGAUGGAACCAUAGAUCGCUACAAAGCCAGACUUGUUGCAAAAGGCUUCAAACAGCGGUAUGGCAUAGACUAUGAAGACACCUUUAGUCGAGUGGUUAAGGCUGCUACUAUUCAUCUUGUACUGUCUAUUGCUGUUUCCAGGGGAUGGAGUCUCAGACAACUAGAUGUGCAGAACGCGUUCCUUCAUGGUGUUUUGGAAGAGGAAGUAUACAUGAAAAAACCUCCUGGUUUUGAGAACAAGGAUAAACCCUUUCAUGUGUGUAAGCUUCACAAAGCUCUAUAUGGACUGAAGCAGGCUCCCAGGGCGUGGUACUCUCGUCUCAGUCAGAAAAUACAAGUACUUGGUUUCGUUCCUUCAAAAUCUGAUACAUGUCUAUUCAUCUACAACUAGCUGGUGUACCCGCGCAUUUGCGCGGCUAGGUUUCGAUAUAUUUAUAUUUGCAAUGAAUGAUUUACAUUUUUCAUAUUUCAGUUUAGUCAUUUGAUUAUUUUAUUGACAUUUUUAUCUUUUUAUUGACAUUUUCGAUAUAUUUUUUUUGGAAAACUUUUUGUGUAUUUUUUUAUCUUCAUAUAUGUGCUUUUUUUCUUUAAAUUACCUACUCUCUUUCUGGCAUAAUAUAAGAUGUUAUUACAUCACUUACAUAUUAGAUGUUAUAAUGUCUUGUAAUAUGGGAUGUAGGGAGUAUCUAUUUUAUCUUGGAUUUUUUCAUUCAUUUUUUUCAUAUUUCCUGUAGAACUACAUGCUUGUGAUCCAUCUAAUUUGUAUAAGAAAUGAAAUAAAAAGUCACGUUUUUAUUUUUUUACACCUCUCAGUUUUAAAAAGAAUGUACAUUAUAACAUCCGGAUUUACCCCUCUACAAUCUUAGGGUUUAAAUGAAAUAUUUGUACAACGUGCUUCCUUUAAAAAAAUGUACAACGUGCUUCCCAUCCCAUUAUGCGUAAAUUUUUUAGAAGAAAUGUGUACGCCUCUUUUUUUAAGGGAUGUACGCCGCUCCCUUUCUUCUUUGCCUUUGAAGGGGAAUUGAAAGAAACUGAGGCUGCCCGUCCAUGGGGUGAUUCUGCCCCAAAUCUAAGUGCCCUGCCCGUCCAUGGUGCGAUCCUGUAGCAAGUCGCAAGGGGAAAAAGAAAUCGAGGCUGCUGCCCCAAAUCUGAGUGCCCUGCCUGUCCACGGGGAGAUGUUGUACCAAAUCGCAAGUGGAGUAUUGUACCAGAUUGAUUUGCUUGCCCAUCCGUGGCCAAAUCUUGGAGGAGGUGACGUUGGUGGCCAUUUUUUGCCCAGGCCGGGACAUGCACUGCGGAUCAGGCGUUGCCGACCAGCGAGGCGGCAUCUCACUGUUACUUAUGUUGAAAGUCCAUUUGCGAUGGGCCAUCUUCUGUGUGUCUGUCUCCUUAGGCUGCGGACGUGCUGAUAGGUAUGAAUCUGUCGGGGUGGCUGAUCCACGAACACCUAUGGGGACCGGCGGACCGAGCCCCUUUCGGUUCGGAGGGGGGCGGAGGUCGCACGAAGAGCGGAUCGAGGCGGUGCACACGAGCAGUUUACCCAGGUUCGGGCCGCACGGAUGCGUAAAACCCUACUCCUGCUUGCUUGAUUGUAUUGAGUUCUUGCUCAGGAGCGAUGAACGCUACCAGACCGAGCGUGGGAAUGUUCUUGGUGUUUCGAAUGAGCCGAACCUAACGGGCCCGAAUGGAACCGAACCCCCUCUACGUUGCGUUUGGGCCUCCUUUUAUACUCUCAAGGGGUCACCGACAGGUGGCAACGUAGACUAGAAGGGUAAAAAUGGAAAAGAAUGCGGUAGGUGCAGCUACCGCUACUGUGGACAGAGUGUAUCCUACCUAACUCUGACGGCAGGGGACAAGGUCAUUGAAUGCCCGUCUGAGUUGCCUAAACAGUGCAAAAAGUGACCGUUAGGAGCACCACCGUUUGCCACGAUGGCCUCCUCCGCAUCUCCACUUGCCACCGCGUACCCCUGGCUGCACAGGCUCCUGCCACGCGCCCAUGAGAAAGUCUCAUGGUGACACGCGGGUGGGUGCGCUGGAGCGCGGGUAUAGAGUGGCAGCGGGCCCCCGGCGAGUAUGUCGGGGUCGUCGUCUAGUCGCGUCCGGAAGCUUGUCGCUCGCCGGUCCUUGCCGGGACGCGCGGUGCAUCGCGGCAAGUUUCUUGAUGUGCCGUGGUUGGCCUUCCCGGCAAGCUCCUCUUGCCGGGGCCUUGUCUCUUCCCGGCAAGCUCCUCUUGCCGGGGCCUUGUCUCUUCAUCUUAAAUACUCUGUUCUCGAAUGGCUCCAAAGGAACCUACGGAGGAACCUGGCGGUCGUCCGGCAAGCCUUGCCGCGGGGCGCUGCAACUGCCCGUGCACAAGUUCGGGAUACUAGGGUACCCCUACUCUAGUACACCGACAGGAGCCCCCGGGCCUGGGCCACACACGGUGCCGAGCGCUGUUGGGCCAGACCCAAAACAGGGCACGGGCACGCGCGGGCCUGGGUCAUGCCGAAUCGCGGCGUCGUGGGAGAGAUCGUGGGUGGCUCUUUAUUCGGAAAGGGCGCAACAUUCGCCCCCUCCUCCUUAUAAGCAGGGGAAACAGGGGCAUUUCCCCCACCUUCGCCAUUCGCUGUUGCAAUCUCAGAAAUCUCCGCCGCCCUCCUCCGCUUGCAAAGCCGAAAGAGAGCAGCGUUCCGCUCCCACCACCGCCGCCACCACCAGCGCCGCCGAUCUCCCCCACCGCCUCCGUCAUGGCUCCGAAGACCGGCAAGGGGAAGGCCGCGAAGACGGCGGCCGCGAAAGCUGUGAAGUCGACCGAAGCGCAGCGGCUUGAGGCGCUGCGGAAGGAGCGGGCCACUUUCCUCCCCGAGCUCUCCGCAAAGGAGCUGAGGGAGUGGUACUAUCUCUUCUGGUCGACGGAGACACGGGCGCAUCCGCGCACGAAGGUACUCUCCGCCGUCGCCUUGCAAGAAGCUCCAGUUGGCGGGUACCCUUUCUUUGCCGUGUUCUUCUACUACGGGCUCUGCCCGCCAUUCUCUGAUUUCUUCUGCGACAUCAUGAACACCUACGGGUUCCACCUCCUUGAUUUCACCCCCAACGCCGUUCUGACCAUGGCAGUUUUCGCCCAUCUAUGCGAAAACUUUGUCGGUGUCCACCCCAACGUAGCCCUCUGCCGCCAUUUCUUUAUACCUCGUGUCGAGAGAGGGGAACCUCUUGCCGGCGGGAUUGCCUGGAUCUCGCGAGCCGGCAAGAAGGAGACCUAUCUGGAGGGGGAGCUCCGCAGCAAGUGGGAUGAGUGGAGAGCAGAUUGGUGCUGGGUUGUAGAGGAGAACCCGCAGCUGUUCACCGUCUUGCGCCAGACCCCAGCAGUGCGUGGCAAUGAUUGGAGCGCCCUGUCCGCGGAUGACGACAAGCUGAAGAUCGCCACCACCCGGAUCUUGCGCCUCAGGCUUGCCGGGCUGACUGUAGGAGCCGUCGGCGCAGACUUCCUUCGCCGCCGCAUUGCCCCUCUGCAGGCGAGGGGGAGACCCGCUUGGGAAUUUGGAGGCCCGGCAGAUAUCAUGAGGUUGCGCCCAGGCCUCAACUUCAAUUUCACCGUCCUAGAGUUUGAUGGGAUACUCAAGGAGAUAUUCAAGCACGACCCACAGCAUCCCGAGUGGUUCAGGUUGCCGGCAGGCGUCGUUCCUCUGUGCAACAACUCCUCGCGCGACCGCAUCUGCGCAAUGAUGCUGUUGUGUGAUUCGCACGGGAUCGCUCCAACAUGGCAAGAGCCUGUCGGCGACGUCGUGCAGCAGUUCUUCGACAGCCUAGUGGAAGUGGCGGUCAAUGCUGGCGAAAAGAAGCUCCUCACCCGCGACACCACCGAUCAAGAGAUGGAACGCAUCACCACCAGGGCGGAAGAGGCGGCGGCAGCCGCAGCCGCGGGUGAAUUCGGGUUCACGGUGGAGGAAGCGGACGCGGCAUCGGCGACAAGUCUUGCCGAACGGGAGUGGCCCGAAGACGAAGAAGAGCUCGCCGCGCCCGACGCCGAGUCGAGCGAGCCUGCCGAGGAUGCGAGCGGCCCGCCAUCUCCGAGGAGCUUGCCGCGAGUAGGGCCCGCAGCGCAGCCCCCAGCGCAGCCAAGAAGGCGCCUUCGCAGGGCCAGGGACGCAGCAGGGCGGCAAGUGGGCCAACAGCUGCAGCGCCGCGCGACGCGCUCCGCCGCGGCAAGUACGGUUGCCGGGGGAGCGCCUCCUGCCACGGCGACAACUGGAGCGGGGUCGUCUCCGGCUGGCGCUGCAGUCCCCGCCAAGCGGCCAAGGGAUCCCACCCUCCACCUCGUCGCGCCGGAGGUGGGCCGAACUUCGACCUCUCCGCGCUCAGCUCCGACGAGGAGGAAGAAGAAGAGUAAGAUUUCCUUGUUGUUCUUGUAGUUCUUCAACUUGCUGUUCUUGCCUUGCAUCUGAUCUGAUCCACCCUGGACUCUCCCUUUUUAGGACUCUGGCCCAGAGGGCGGCGAAGAGGGCCAAGGCUCAGGUGGUGAUCAUCGAUGACGAGCCCACUGCGACGGCAGGAGGCGCACCCGAGACCACCUUGCCGGAUCCAGCCACUACUUCGCAGAGCAGCCCUCAGCGCAGCCCCCAGCGUAAGUAUAUGGUCUACUUUCUGCUUCUGGGUGCGCGCGGUCGCUCUUUUCCUUUGUUGACAUCUGAUCACUGGUUUGUUUGUGCAGGAGCAGAACAACUUCAUCAGGAGGGCGUGGUGAUCACCUCCGACUCGUCGUCUGCUUCGACUACACCGCCAAGGGCGGACUCCCCGGCAAGGAAGCGUUCUCCGGCAAGGGAGCAAUCUCCGGCAAGGGAGGAGUCUCCGGCAAGGGACAGCGCCAACGAGCCCCCAGAGGUGGAGCUCAUGACAGCGGAUCCCAGCACAGGUAGUCCUUCUUGCCCGAAACUUUCCUUGUAUUCUUCUGCUGAUUUUUCUUCUCAAGUGCUUGUUUGGUUCCUCAUUCUUCUCCGGUCGUUAGAUCCACCCUCCGCGGAUCCGAUGGAGAUCGAGGCGGGCGGCGAGGAGGACGCGCGCGGCAACACUGAUGAUGCCGCGGCCACCGAAGAAGGAGCCGGUGCUGAUGUGCCCGCCGGUGAAGAGGCCGCCAAGGCUGCUGCCGAAGAAGCUGACGAGGGAUCUGGCGAUCGCACUGACGGCCCUGAGGCCGCAGGAGCGUCAGGCGCUGCACCGACUGCCGAUCCCUCUGCCGCUGCCGCAGCGCCAGGCUCCGAGGAGUCCCAGCCCGGCGCCUAUCUGAAGGCCGGCGAGGGAAUCUUCAUCAAGCUCCCCUGGGCGUCAAGCUCCAGGGCACCGGUGGAAGGAGAAGCUCUGGAUGGGGAGGUGCUUGCCUCCGCCGGGUUGGCGAUCGUCGACGCGCCGGGAAGCAGCAAUGACGAGCCUGAGGAGGAGCGGCUGCUACGGAGGCUGCUGGCGCUUUAUCGCGCCCGCCAAGUCAAGUUGGAGUCCCGGGAAGCGCUCGUCGCGAAGGCGAGCGUGGAUAUAGAGAAGCGCGCGGAGGAGCUCCGGGGUCUUCGCCAGGAAGCUCUCCGAGCUUUGGCGGAGGAGCGGGAGCAGCUUGCUGAGGAGUGGAAAGCCUUUCUCCUCGAGAAGGCCGAAGCUAAAGAGCAGCAGCGGCUCUCCGGCGAGAAGCUGUACGCGCGAGAAGGCGAGCUGGCUCAGCGGAAAGUGAACCUCGACAGCCACGAGGAGGAGCUUGCUGCGCGCGAACAAGCACUUGGCGGAACGCUCCAAGAAGCAAAGGAUGCGGCUGCGGCUGCCGAGACCGCCAAGAAGGAAUUGGAGGUAAAGGUGGCGCAGCUAGAGGCUGAUCUGAAGGUGGGUGGCGAAGAGCUUGCCGCGCUUAAGCGGGAGCGCGAGAAGGACGCUCUUGCCCACGGUGAGCUGCAGGGCCGACUCUCCGAGAAGGGCAAAGAGCUGCGCGCCGCCAAGGAUUCCAACGCUGAUCUGGAGCUGAAGCUGGCCACCUUGACAGAGUCGUUGGACGGCGCCAAGAAACGGGAGGCGGACUUGAAGAAGGAUAUCAAGGCCAACGAGGCGCUACUGGCGAGGGCCACCGAAACCCAGAAUCUCCUCAGGGAUACUGUGGCGCUCUGGACGGAGGGCCUCGUGAACAUCGCUGCAGUCAUCGAAGAGGAGCUGGUGCAAUUGGGGGUGGAGGGCCUCGGGUACCCCUCCGACGAGAACCUCCAACCUAGCGCCAAGCUCACUCUGUUCUUCAAGGGCAUGGCGACGGCCCUCCAGCAACUUCGGGAACGGAUCCCAAAGCAGCUGGCCGACGAGUCGCGCACGAUUUGUGCCGGAGUUCUGGAGAAGGUGCUGGUGAAGGUGGCCUUCCGCAAUCCGGGCCUCAACCUCACCAACGUCCUCAAGAGGCUGCCGGCGGACGCUGAUCUUGACGCACUUAUGGCCCUCGUCGCACCCAUUGUGGACAGGGUGAACGAGGUCAAAAGGGUUGACGGCGGUCGCGUAGAUUAGGCCGUCCAUUCUCUUCUUUUCUUGUCGCUGCCAGUCAUGCCAUGGGAACAAUUUAUUAGAGGCGCGACAAGUUAUUCAUGUAAUAUAACUUUAUCUUAGGCAAAAAAUUGCUGCGUUACUUCCUUUACUCGACUCUUGGCUUUGUAUGGUUCUGCCCUACGCUUUCUAGGUAAACUUGCCGGUGCAGGCACCCUUGCCGCGAGCGCCGAGUGCGAAACUUCAGCAGCCUGUUGGCGGGGUCGCUACCGGCAAGCAACCUUGUCGUAGCUAGUUGCAGCUCACUUAAGUUGUUGAGCGGACUCGAAACAAAGUAAGGGCGCAGCUAGCUACGAGUUGGUUCCUACGCGCACAGGUUUUCCAUACAAAGCACGGUCAUUCAAGGAAAAUAACUCAAAGACUUAAAAACUGAUUGCUCAAACUUUUUGCAACUUAGCUUUUCUGUCGUCUGCUUCCCGGCAAGGAGAAACUCUCUUGAACGGCCCGGUCCACACCAUUAUCUUCUCCUUCCCCCCCGGCAAACCUUGUGGGCGAGGGAACCUUCCUUCUUUUGAGAAAGAGACAGAGAGAGAAAGUAAUGAUAUGGAGCCUUACGGCUCGUUAUUGCUUACCGGGGUCUGGUGCUGCACAAAGCGUCAGAUAACAUAUGGAAAAAGGAUUACAGUAUGAAACUGACAAGAUGUGCGGGGCACAUGAACUUUACUGGUGCACGGGGUCUGCGCCCGGCUUUGUACAAAGGAUUACAUGCAACAGCGGCAAGACUUGUAAAAAGGUGGUUGCCGGAAAAGCAUCCGGCAACCGCGCCCUACGGGUAAAACUUACGAAGAUGUUCAAUGUUCCAGGAGUUGCUCACCGGAAUGCCAUCUUCGGUCUCAAGGCGGACAACGCCGGGCCUAGUGACUCGUUUCACCUGAUAAGGGACUUCCCACUUCGGCGUCAACUUGUUGGAAUUCUUGGCGGACUGAACACGCCGAAGAACAAGGUCGCCUUCCUCGAAGCUUCUCGCUUUAACUUUGCGGCUAUGGUAGCGACGCAAAGCUUGCUGGUAGCGAGCGGCUCGCACAGUAGCCUGAAGACGGUCUUCCUCAAGGAGCAGCGCGUCAUCUUGCCGCCGCUGCUCUUGCUCGAGCUCAUCAUAAGCGAGCACUCGAGGUGACCCGUAAACGAGUUCCGUGGGGAGAACUGCCUCUGCUCCGUAGACUAGAGCGAAAGGUGUCUGGCCAGUGGCUCGAUUUGGCGUCGUCCUGAUCGACUAAGGAACCACCGGCAGCCCCCCGAUCCAGUUUCUUCCGCACUUGUGCAGCCUGUCGAAAGUUCUGGUCUUGAGGCCUCGCAGCACUUCAGCAUUUGCCCUCUCCGCUUGACCGUUGCUUCUCGGAUGAGCAACAGAAGCGUAGCAGACCUUGGCGCCAAGAUCUUGGACGUACUGCAUGAAGGUGCGGCUCGUAAAUUGCAUGCCGUUGUCGGUGAUGAUCCUGUUAGGGAUCCCGAAACGGCAAACAAUUGACCUGAAGAACUUGACUGCUGACUGUGCUGUCCCCUUCCUCACUGGUUCUACUUCCGGCCACUUUGUGAACUUGUCGAUGGCGACGUACAAGAACUCAAAGCCCCCGACAGCUCGGGGAAAGGGGCCGAGGAUGUCGACCCCCAGACCGAAAAUGGCCAGGAUAAAGGGAUCGUCUGGAGAGCUUGAGCUGGCUGGUGUAUCUGUUUGGAAUGGAACUGGCACGCUUCACACUUGGUUACUUGUGCAGUUGCAUCCUGGAGGGCUGUCGGCCAGAAGAAACCUUGUCGGAACACUUUGCUGGCAAGUGCUCUUGCGCCAAUGUGGUGACCACAUAUGCCUCCAUGUAUCUCUGCCAACAGCUAUUGUCCAUCUUCCCGGCGAAUGCACUUCAAUUUCACACCGUUGAGUCUUAUUCUGUACAGUGUGUUGUCGACAAACUUGUACAUACUUGACUGCCGGGCUACUCUUUCCGCUUCUUCUUGCUCUUCGGGAAGCUCUCCUGUCUGAAGGAAACGGACAAUCUGCUCCGCCCAUGCUGGAGCUUGCGGCUCGACAACAGGGACUAAAGCACUAGUAGAAAAAGGGCCUAUUGUCCCGGUUGGUAAGGGCCUUUAGUCCCGGUUGGUGAACCGGGACUAAAGGGUCGGUACUAAUGCCUCCCUCCUUUAGUCCCGGUUCAAUCCAGAACUAGGACAGAAGGGCCUCCACGUGGCCUGUCCCCUGAGCCCAGGCAGGAGGGCCUUUGGUCCCGGUUGGUGGCACCAACCGGGACCAAUAGGCAUCCACGCGUCAGCGUUUAUGUGGCUGUGGUUUUNNNNNNNNNNNNNNNNNNNNNNNNNNNNNNNNNNNNNNNNNNNNNNNNNNNNNNNNNNNNNNNNNNNNNNNNNNNNNNNNNNNNNNNNNNNNNNNNNNNNNNNNNNNNNNNNNNNNNNNNNNNNNNNNNNNNNNNNNNNGGGGGGGGGUUGGGGGGUUUUGGGGGGUUAAUUUAGGUGUUUCAUAUAUUGUGCUAUAGCUAGCUAAUUAAUAGAGAGAAGUGUCCUCUCUUUUGUCCGUGCUUGGUCGACGCUACGUACCAUACAUACAUACGUAUAGAGAGGACUAGCUAGACACGCUAGCUAGCUAGUAAGCAAACAGAAGAUCGUCAUGAACAUAUAUGCAUACAGAGAGAAGUGAUAUCGACCACCUCUCCUUCUCCGAGAGAUUGGUCGAACAAACAAGUUCUCGUAUAUCUAUCCGACACUACCGGCUACAUAUAUACAAUAAUUAUCUUUUACAAAUAUAUAAUCUCCUAAAAUACGGACGCGUGGUCAACAUAGUAUUCUCCGUCUUCAGCGAUCAUGUGGUCAAGAAAGAAUGUCGCCAAUUCCUCUUCAAUUGCUCGCAUGCGAUCUGGUGCUAGGAGUUCAUGCCGCAUCCGAAACAUCUAAUUUUAAGAAGGGGGUCAAUACAUAUAUAUAUAUAUAUAUGAAUGAAUGAAACUCAACACAAAUGAUGGUAAUAAAAUAAAAUUGUGAAUAUUGUUAUUUACGCACUUCAUAUUGUUUGUCGGAGUAGCCCCGCUCACAGGUCGUGUGGCGGAUGGACUCGCAAAUGUAGUAUCCACAGAAAUCAUUCCUUUGUUCCUGCCACAACCACUUUACAAGAAAUAGAGGUCAAUCAAACUGAUAAUUAGCAAGCAUGCUAAAUGGUAUUGAUGAAACUAGCGCUUGAAUCACUAGGAGAUGCCUGGAAUAUGCUACUAUAUAGUACUUAAUUUCGGGUGCCUAAAUUGCAGCUUCUUCGGUAGUCCCGGAGCUUUUUUGGUGAAUUUUCUCCAAGCCCUGCCAUACAAAGAAAACAAUUACUUGAUAUCAGAAAUGAACAAAUUAAGUUGCUGAUAUGGUGGAUAAUGAUCGAUUUAACUUACUUCUCGAGCAUUUCAGUCAUGUCCGCAUACUCCUUGGGAUCUUUUCGCUUGGAGUCUAAGACAGUUACUACUCCCUUCUCAAGCUUAAUCUCUAGGAGAAUAUAGUGGUAGCUGCGCACACAUGCAUAACUCAUCACUAUUACAUUACUAUAACCUGGACUAAUAUAAGGAAACCGAAUAUGCCACAAGACAGUAACACUCACUUGAAGUUGUAAGGAAAGAGUAUUAUAUCUUUGUGUUCAUUUAUUUCCAACGAUCGUAGCAAGUUGGCCUCGGUUUCUUGGGCACGAUAUUGAACCUCAGUUGCAUCUAUGAUAUACGUGUUAAUGAACCCAAUAUCUCCCACUUGUCUUUUCUUCAAUUCGGCGAUCUUCAAUCUGCAUAAUAUAGUGAGGAUAAUUAUAAAUACAUGCAAAUGAAAGGGCUGAGUUAUAUAGAGAGACUUAAUGACGGAAGUAGUACUACUUACGGACAGUAGGAGGUGACCGUUGCUUUAUCGAUGGCCAAUUUAUUGAAAAACUGAUAGAACUCCUCAAAUGGAAUAGGCAACAGUUCAAUUCCAGGGAGGUCAUGCUCCUUUUUAACUCUCAUAUACAAAGUAUUCCUCCCCUCAGACUCUUUGCAGGUUUUCAUGUACCAAUCAUGCAAUCUUCGCAUCAUCGUUGAUAGAGAACUUUCAUCUUUGAGGAGAGGCUUCCCGUACUCGUAUCUUUGUAUCUGCACCUCCAUGAUAUCAUAAUGUACAUCGUCGGGCAAGUAAUUUGCAGGAUUGCCAUAACCGGGCACCAUCCUCGGAUCGACGAUGUCGCUAGCAGGCACCUUGAGCGGGGGGCACGAUUGCUUCGCUUGUUCGCCGAGCUGGGCAAUUUGUUUCCCAGCUCGUCGUUCUUUCAUCCUUUGAUCACUUUGAGUACUUCCCGACCUCUCCGCUUCGGCAAAUGUCUUUCCAAUAAUGCGCUCAUAGUUUCCUUUCGGCGGAGACUUGGGUGGUUUUGUCAGGGCAGACAGAGUGCGCUUCCCUUUCACCAGAUCUACCUUCUCCUCCGGAGGUGGAUGUCUCUUUGCUUUCAACCCUUGAAACCAGUCAUCCACUUCGGUCUGCGCGAUCUUCGCGUUUUCCUCCUCGCUCCUCUCGUACGGUAACUUCUCUGGAGUCUUCAGAGAAGGACCGAAUCUGUAUCUCCUCCCGCCUUUGGCUGUACUGCUAGACGCCGGCAGAGUAGACGGAGCGGAUGUCUUCUUUCCUUGCUUACGAGGUGGAGGAGAAGGACUGCGACGCGCCAUAUAAGCCGGAGCAGCGGCGGGUCUCUUCCGCCCUUGCUGACGAGGCGGAGAAGGAGGAGGCUGGCUGCUCGGGCACGCCGGCGCAGGCGGAGAAGGAGGCGGAGUGCCGCCACGCGCCGGAGAAGGAGUGGACUGAGUGCCCUGAUCUUCACUCGCCGGUGGAGGAGGCGGAGUGCCCUGACUCGCCGGAGGAGGAGGAGGAGGCGGAGGCGUCCAGUUCGAAAGGUUGAUGAGAUCCUUCCGCCAUAGGCAUGGAGUCUUCAGAGCAGAACCCAGCCGAUACUCCCCUUCACCGGUAGGGUGGUCAAUCCGGAGGUCCUCAAAUCCCUCCAUUAUUUCAUCGACCAUCACCUUAGCAUAUCCUUCUGGAAUCGGCCGGCAGUGAAAAGUUGAGUCGGGUUUAGUAGGAUAAACAGAGCCAAUAGCCGCCUUGACCUUCAAAUUGCUCCAUUGCGCCAUAAGGUGGAAAUUUUCAGCAUCCGUGAUAGCAUCCACGGGAUAGCUGGCAGGAGCCGUCAAGGCAUCCUCUGGCUGAAGCAGCUCGGUGGAAGCCACGCUGCUUUUCCGCUGAGAUGGCGGGGUAGCUUCGGGGGAAGCUUCGGCAGGUCGUUUGCUGCGAUCUGCUUCUCGUUCCUCUAGCCCCAUUACCCUUUCGUGCAGCGACUGUAGUUGGCUCUGCUCCAGUUUCUUCCUCCUCUCGUGGGUUUUGUAACCCCCUGCGUCCGAAAAUCCAGCCUUCCACGAAACGGAGCCUGGCGUGCCUCGUGUCCGUCCAGGGUGCUCAGGAUUGCCGAGGGCCAUUGUGAGCUCGUCCUUGUCCCUGUCUGGAACGAACGUCCUUUGCUGCGCUGCUUCGAUAUAUUGCUGAAGCUUCUUGACUGGUAUGUCCAAUUGUUCCUCCGUCCAAAUGCACUUCCCUGUUAUAGGGUCCAAGGAUACGCCGACCCCAAAGAACCAAGUCCGGCAACGUUCUGGCCAGUUCAUUGUCUCUGGUUCGAUCCCUUUAUCAAGCAGAUCAUUCUCAGCCUUGGCCCACUUAGGCUGGGCUACGAGGUAGCCACCUGACCCCGUGCGAUGGUGAAGCUUCUUCUUCUCAGCAUUUCUCUUGUUUGUCGCCGACAUUUUUUUACUCUUUUCCGAUGUCUUGUGGGCCACAAAUGCGGGCCAGUCAUCUCUGAUCUUCUCAUAUUUGCCAAUGAAUUCUGGUGUCUCAUUUUUUUCGACAUACCUAUUGAGGUCUUUCUUCCAAUUCCUGAAUAGGUCUGCCAUCUUCCUCAGAGCAAAAGACUUUAUUAAUGGCUCUAUAACUGGCUUCUCCGGAUCAUCCUCCGGCGGUAGGGUGAAAUUUGACUUCAGCUCAGUCCAAAGAUUCUCUUUCUGCAUCUCAUUGACAUAAGACACCUCAGGGUCUUCGUUCUUAGGCUUAUACCAUUGCUGGAUGCUGAUCGGGAUCUUGUCCCUAACCAGAACCCCACACUGAGCAACAAGUGCCUUCUUUGUCCGGUAGGGUUCAAUCGGUUGGCCGUCGCGUGCGAUUUGUAUGAUCUCAAACUUUUCAUCCGAGCUCAACUUUUUCUUCGGGCCUCGUCUCUUUACCGAAGUUGUGCUCGAUCCGGAGGGCUAGAAAAAAGAACAAAGACGAGAGUUAAUUAAUAUGUGUACAUACCAAAACAAUGAAUGCAUCAAUUAGCUAGUCAGCACAGGCUUAACUAAUAUAUAUACCUGGCCGGACUCGGUUUGGUGAUCACCGGAGCCGUCCUCAUGGUCUACUUCUUCACCCUCUCCUUCUUGCACCGGCAUUGGGUCAUCGGAGCCAUGUAAAUCAAUGAGGAGAGGGCCAGCUGCUUCUUCACCCUCUUCUUCCAGACCAUCGUUGUCGUUGAGAAACAUCGAGAGGGCAUGACUUCCUUCUGCGAUUAUGUCCCUCAACAACGCUUCUUGUGCUUCGUCUCGGGGGGUGUCCAUAGUUUCUACAAAUAUUUACAACAUGGCAAUUAUUAUUCAAACAUGACAGAUAUGGAUAUAUUAGUGGCAAACGUAGAACUAGCUAGCUAAUCACAAUAAGGAUUCGUCUAGGGUUUGGGGUGGCCUCGACAACGCUUCAAGGGUUAGGGGGUGGCCUCGAGAACGCUUCAAGCUAGGAGGGGGUAAUAUCGACCCCCCCCCACGUGUUGAAGCUAUCGGGAGGGGGUCGGCGUUGAACAGUACAUCUAUGUCCCACAAGUGACGUGGGCAUCGACAUGGGCAUCGACGCCCACAAGCUAUUGGAUUUCUUCAAUACUUUGACACUAUAGGAACCCUCGACCCUGAAACCUUCGACCCUUGACCCCUUAACGACCCCCGACCCUCGACCCCUCGGCGAUCCUCGACACCCUCGUUAUAUCGACAACGACGCAACAUACAUAUACAUGGGAAAAUAAUGUUAUCGGGGAGGGGGUAUCGGUACCCCCCCCCUCGUGUCAAAGUUUCUUCUUUCUCCUCUAUUCCUUUCUUUCUUCUUCUCCUCUUCUUUUCUUCUUAUCCCUCGAGAAAGGAAAAUAAGGAAAAGGAAGAAAAGAGGAAGAAGGAAGAAGGAAUAAGAAGAAGAAAAAAAAGAAGAAAAAAAAAAGAGGAGAAGAAGAAAAGAAUAGAGGAGAAGAAGAAAAAAUAGAAAAAAAAUUCUAUUUUUUCUUCUUCUCCUCUAUUCUUUUCUUCUUCUCCUCUUCUUUUUCUUCUUUUUUCUUGUUCUUAUUUAUUUCUCCUCUUCUUCCUAACCCCUCUUUUUCUCCUUUCUUCCUCUUCUUNNNNNNNNNNNNNNNNNNNNNNNNNNNNNNNNNNNNNNNNNNNNNNNNNNNNNNNNNNNNNNNNNNNNNNNNNNNNNNNNNNNNNNNNNNNNNNNNNNNNNNNNNNNNNNNNNNNNNNNNNNNNNNNNNNNNNNNNNNNNNNNNNNNNNNNNNNNNNNNNNNNNNNNNNNNNNNNNNNNNNNNNNNNNNNNNNNNNNNNNNNNNNNNNNNNNNNNNNNNNNNNNNNNNNNNNNNNNNNNNNNNNNNNNNNNNNNNNNNNNNNNNNNNNNNNNNNNNNNNNNNNNNNNNNNNNNNNNNNNNNNNNNNNNNNNNNNNNNNNNNNNNNNNNNNNNNNNNNNNNNNNNNNNNNNNNNNNNNNNNNNNNNNNNNNNNNNNNNNNNNNNNNNNNNNNNNNNNNNNNNNNNNNNNNNNNNNNNNNNNNNNNNNNNNNNNNNNNNNNNNNNNNNNNNNNNNNNNNNNNNNNNNNNNNNNNNNNNNNNNNNNNNNNNNNNNNNNNNNNNNNNNNNNNNNNNNNNNNNNNNNNNNNNNNNNNNNNNNNNNNNNNNNNNNNNNNNNNNNNNNNNNNNNNNNNNNNNNNNNNNNNNNNNNNNNNNNNNNNNNNNNNNNNNNNNNNNNNNNNNNNNNNNNNNNNNNNNNNNNNNNNNNNNNNNNNNNNNNNNNNNNNNNNNNNNNNNNNNNNNNNNNNNNNNNNNNNNNNNNNNNNNNNNNNNNNNNNNNNNNNNNNNNNNNNNNNNNNNNNNNNNNNNNNNNNNNNNNNNNNNNNNNNNNNNNNNNNNNNNNNNNNNNNNNNNNNNNNNNNNNNNNNNNNNNNNNNNNNNNNNNNNNNNNNNNNNNNNNNNNNNNNNNNNNNNNNNNNNNNNNNNNNNNNNNNNNNNNNNNNNNNNNNNNNNNNNNNNNNNNNNNNNNNNNNNNNNNNNNNNNNNNNNNNNNNNNNNNNNNNNNNNNNNNNNNNNNNNNNNNNNNNNNNNNNNNNNNNNNNNNNNNNNNNNNNNNNNNNNNNNNNNNNNNNNNNNNNNNNNNNNNNNNNNNNNNNNNNNNNNNNNNNNNNNNNNNNNNNNNNNNNNNNNNNNNNNNNNNNNNNNNNNNNNNNNNNNNNNNNNNNNNNNNNNNNNNNNNNNNNNNNNNNNNNNNNNNNNNNNNNNNNNNNNNNNNNNNNNNNNNNNNNNNNNNNNNNNNNNNNNNNNNNNNNNNNNNNNNNNNNNNNNNNNNNNNNNNNNNNNNNNNNNNNNNNNNNNNNNNNNNNNNNNNNNNNNNNNNNNNNNNNNNNNNNNNNNNNNNNNNNNNNNNNNNNNNNNNNNNNNNNNNNNNNNNNNNNNNNNNNNNNNNNNNNNNNNNNNNNNNNNNNNNNNNNNNNNNNNNNNNNNNNNNNNNNNNNNNNNNNNNNNNNNNNNNNNNNNNNNNNNNNNNNNNNNNNNNNNNNNNNNNNNNNNNNNNNUUUUUUCCAGUUUUUUUGUUUUGUUUUCUGCAUUAAUUAUUUUCUUUUGGUUUUUUGCUUUAUUUUUUAAUUCUUUGAAAUUUGUGUGAAUAGUUAAAUUGAAUUCUUUGAAAUUUGUGUGAAUUUGAAGUUUGUGAUUAACUUUACUAGUGCCAUUAUUUUUUCAGUUCUACUUAGAAAUAAAUACUUACAGUUUUUUGGUGAUUUCUUUUUUCUUUUAGGUCACAAAAAAUAAAAACUUCUCUAUUAGUGAACAUAGAUGCACUUAUAGAGAAAAUUAAACAUAAAUUCAUAAUCAAUUCUAUUUAUAAAUUUAGGUCCAAUUUCCUCUAUAGGUGCAUAUAUUUUCACUUUGAGAGGAGAUCAACAACACAGAGAGGGACGGGCUUAUAAACAGGUGUGGGCGCCCUUCUGUUGGCGAGGUGGGACUGAAAGCUGGGUGCAACGAGGGCCAACCCUUUAGUCCCGGUUGGUGGCAUGAACCGGGACUAAAGGUAACCCUUUGGUCCCGGUUCAUGCCACCAACCCGGACCAAUAGUGGUGGGCCAGGAGCCAGGACCAUUGGUCCCGGUUCGUCCCACCAACCGGGACCAAAAGGUCCGGACGAACCGGGACCAAUGUCCCACGUGGCCCGGCCGGCCCCCUGGGCUCACGAACCGGGGCAAAUAGCUCCAUUGGUCCUGAUUCUGGAUUGAACCGGGACUAAUGGGCUAAACUGGCCUGGACGAAAGCCCUGUUUUCUACUAGUGAAGGCGUAUCUGUUGCUGUGGGAACAUCCGCUUCUACGGCAAGAACCUGCGAUUCGGUCGGAGCGUGAUGUUCCCCGGCAAGCUUGCCGGAGCAAAGCUUGUCGGGAGCGUCUGCUUCAACGGAACAAACCAAGAGGUUCGGCGGAGCAGACUGCUCCUCAGCACUCUUGGCGUCAAUCAUGGGGACCUUCUUGGCGGCGGCUUCGGGAAGCUCUGCCAGAAAGUAGUCGUCAGACACCAACUUCCUCUUCUUACUCUGUCUAGUCGACGGUGUUACGGAUGGUUGAGUCAGCUUGAGCACAAAGAUCCCUGGUUCCACAGGUAACUUUAGUGCUGCGCACUUUGACAGGCCAUCAGCAAUAUCGUUCUGAGCUCGUGGAACAUGCUCCAUUUGCAGGCCGUCAAAGUGUUCUUCUAGCUUCCUCACUUCAUCAACAUAUGCUUCCAUCAACGGACUCUGAUAGCUUUUGUUUACUUGGCGGACGACCAACUGCGAGUCACCCCUGACAAUGAGCUUGUUGAUCCCAAGGUCUGCUGCAAUUCUGCGGCCGGCAAGCAAACCUUCAUACUCUGCGGUAUUGUUCGUUGCUUGCUCCUUGGGAAAGUGCAUCUGAACUACGUACUUGACGUGUUCUCCGGUGGGUGCGAUAAGCAGCACGCCAGCACCGGCGCCUUGCAGCGAGAAGGCACCAUCAAAGUACAUCAACCAUUCUUUGCUUGCCUCUUUGAUGGGGAUGCUCGUUUCUGGAGUUUCUUCAUCUGGUGUUGGCGUCCACUCCGCUAUGAAUUCUGCCAAUGCUCUGCUCUGUAUAGUUGAAGUGCUCUCAAACUUGAGGCCAAAGCUUGACAGUUCUAGUGCCCACUCGACAAUCCUUCCUGUUGCUUCUGGAUUUUGCAAUAUCCUCUUCAACGGAAAGUGAGUGACAACUGUUAUUUCAUGUGCCUGGAAGUAAUGGCGCAGAUUUCUCGAGGCCAUGAGAAGGCCGAAAAGCAAUUUCUGCACGCCAGAAUACCUUGAUCUAGCCCCCUGCAGAAGGGAACUGACAAAGUAAACUGGGCGCUGCACCAUUUUCUUCUGCACCUCCUUGCAUGCCUGCGCAGAUCCAUAUUUGUCGAGACCAGAGCUUGUCGGAGAAGCCCCCUGCUUGUCGCUGGAUUCACUUGCUGCGGUUGCCGGCUCAUCGUCCGCCUCCCUCUCCGCUACUAACGCAGCACUAACCACUUGAUUGGUUGCUGCUAGAUACAGCAGCAACUUUUCUUGUGGCUUAGGUGCGACAAGUAUUGGAGUGGAGGACAGGUACCUCUUCAAGUCCUGUAGCGUGGCCUCCGCUUCCGGAGUCCAUUUCAUCGGACCUGCCUUUUUCAAUAUUUUGAAAAACGGCAAGGCGCGCUCUGCGGACUUAGAGAUAAACCUGCUGAGAGCAGCCACGCAACCGGCAAGCCUUCGUACAUCCUUGACGCGCUUUGAUGCUUCAAUCUGCUCGAUGGCUUUGAUCUUGUCGGGAUUGGCUUCAAUCCCCCUCUGUGACACAAAGAACCCGAGAAGCUUGCCGGAAGGGACUCCAAACACGCACUUCUCGGGAUUGAGCUUGAGGUUGAUCUUGCGCAGAUUUGCAAAAGUUUCAUCUAGAUCUUGAAUCAGAGUAGCCUUGUCUUUGCUCUUGAUCACUAUAUCAUCCAUGUAGGCUUCCACAUUUCUGUGUAUCUGGGGCUCAAAAGCGACAUGGACCACCCUUGCAAAUGUUGAUCCAGCAUUCUUCAACCCGAAGGGCAUCCGUACAAAACAGUAUGUGCCACAUGGGGUGAUGAACGCGGUUUUAUCUUCAUCUUCUUCUGCCAUGAAAAUCUGAUGGUAUCCUGAGUAUGCAUCAAGAAAUGAAAGAAAAUCACAUCCGGCUAUGGAGUCAACAAUCUGGUCAAUGCGCGGCAAGGGAAAUGGGUCUUUGGGACAAGCUUUAUUGACAUCAGUAAAGUCUAUACAAAGCCUCCAUUUCCCGUUGGCCUUGCGCACGACUAAAGGAUUGGCCAACCACGUGGGGUGGAGCACUCCUCUGACAAGGCCUGCUGCUUCCAGCUUCUUGAUUUCUUCUGCAAUAAACUCUUGGCGCUCCACUGCUUGCUUCCUGACUUUCUGCUUGACGGGCCGUGCAUGAGGACAAACGGCUAGGUGGUGCUCAAUCACUUUCCUGGGAACACCGGGGAUGUCAGACGGUUACCAUGCAAACACGUCGACAUUCGCCCGCAGGAAAGCAACGAGCGCGCUUUCCUAUUUGGGGUCGAGAGUGGCACUGAUGGUGAAGGUACCACCAGUGCCGUCCUCCUUGGUGGACACCUUCUUGGUCUCUGGUGGAGCUGCCAUCGUCUUCUUAAACUUGCCGGUGGAGCUCGAUGGUGCGUCCUCGACGGUAGCGCAGCACUCCGAAGAGGUGCGUUUGCCGGAGUGGGCAUCAGAGCUCUUGCCGGACUUGGUCUUCUUCUUCCCCCCGGGAGCUUCAGCGGCAAGUGGCUCGCGAUCAGCUGCGGCUGCUGCUUCCCGGUAGAUCUUGUCGGCACAGAUAAGGGCGUCCUUCUUGUCGCCAGGGACAGAGAUGACACUUAUCCGGCCUGGCAUUUUGAGUACGUUGUACGCAUAGUGAGAGGCUGCCAUGAACUUGGCGAGUGCUGGACAGCCAAGGAUUCCAUUGUAAGGUAAUGGAAAGUCAGCAAUGUCAAACGUGACCCUCUCAGUCCUGAAGUUCAGCUCGCUGCCAAAUGUGACCGGUAGCGUGAUCUUUUCCUUCGGCUUGCUCCUUCCCGGGCUGAUUCCUUGGAACGUGCCGGUCUCCUCGAGCUCGCUGUCAGGGAUCUGGAGUUUCUGGAGGACCGCGGAGGAUAUCAGGUUCAAGCCGGCCCCGCCGUCAACUAGCAUCUUCGUGACCUUGAGGUUGCGGAUAGUUGGAGAAACCAACAUCGGCAAGCACCCGACCGCAGUUACGCGAUCAGGGUGGUCCUCAAUAUUGAAGAUGAUAGGCGUGCUGGACCAUUUCAGGAGCUUGCGUGACUCUAUGGAUGGCUCUGCUGCAUUUACUUCCUGCAUCCACUGCUUGAGUUGGCGGUGCAAAGUAUGCAGAGAGGCGCCACCAUCAACGCACAAGACCUCUGUGGCUUUCUGAAACUCCUUCUCGUCGGCCUCGUCAUCAUCCAUGUCUUCGUCGUCGUCGUCAUCUUCGUCCUUGUCGCGGCCGCGGGGAGGUCUGUCUCCUUGCCGCUGCUUGGCCUUGCCGCGGCGUCCUCCCCGGCCGGGGCGUUUCUUGCCGGCUCCUCCAGCACCUUCCUGGGCCUUCUCCUUGUCGCGCCGCUCGUACUCAGCCUUUUGCAGCUCAACAAGCUGCUCGACCUUCUUGCAGCUCUGGAGAUCGUGACCCUUGGUGUGGUGGAUCUUGCAAUACUGCUUGCCGGAGCUGUCCUGCUUGUCGGCGGCCGCCACAGGCUGGGCCUCCUUGCCGGAGCCACCAGCUUUAGCUUCCUUGGCGCCACCUCCGUUGCCGGUCUGCUCGACAGCUAGCACUUCCUUGCCCUUUUUCCUUCUGUUGUUCCGCCGCCGGCCUUUCCUUGCCGGGGCGGCAUCCUCACUGUCGGAUCCUCCUGCUCCUGUAUUUUCUCCGGGGAGUCUCCUCCCCUCUUCAGCGCGCGCACACUUGUCGGCCAGGGCGUAAAGCUCGCUGACGUUUCUGAUCUUACACAUCGCCAUCUCCUCCCUCAUCCUGCGGUUCCGCAUGUUCUGAUGGAACACGCUGAUGAUCGCGGCAGGGUGGACGUCUGGGAUGUUGUGCUGUACACGGCUGAAUCUUUGAAUGUACUUGCGCAGUGGCUCUCCUUCCUUCUGGGCGAGCAGAUGAAGAUCGCUUUCUUGGCCAUGUGGUUUGUGGCCCCCUGUAAAGGCGCCGACAAACUGAUGGCAUAGAUCUGCCCAAGAGGAGAUGGAGUUGUCCGGCAAGUGCAUGAGCCAGGACCUGACGUUGGGCUUGAGCACUAGCGGGAAGUAGUUGGCAAUGAUCUUGUCGUCCCGUCCCCUGGCAGCCUGCACCGCGAUGGUGUAGAUGCCGAGGAACUCCGACGGAUGCGUCUUGCCGUCGUACUUCUCUGGUACGUCUGGUUUGAAGUUUUUCUUGCUGGGCCACUGGACCUGUCGCAGCUCAUGAGUGAAUGCAGGGCAACCUACCGCGUACGGCAAGUUGCCUGGCUCCCCCGGCGCGUGCAUGUCGACAGAGGGCCCAGCGCGCUGGUCAGAUUGAUGCCACGCUUCUCUUCGGCGCUCGAUGCGAGUACGAGCGUCCUCUUGUUGCCGUUCGUGGAGAACUUGGCACUGAUCGCGACGAGCUCGUGGGUCCGACGACGCGGUGGAGCCGCUGUCGGGUUGGACCCGGCGAGUCGGCGAUUUUGGCCUUCGUAGUGGAGAGUGCAUGGAAGUCGCACCUCCCCCAGUCUUGUUGCCAUCGGCUCGCGUCCGGCAGUCUUGCCGUGGCAGCGAGGUGCUUGGUUGCCGCGCAGUGUCGCCGUUGGCGAAGCCGAUGAGGCUCUGUAUAGUGGCCCUCCACUCGUCGGUCUUGUCUGUCGUCGGAGGGUAGUCUAGGAGCAGUUGAGCUCGCGCCAAGGCUUCUACUGGAGUGGUGGGCGGCAGAGGUGAACGGUGCGAGGAGCGGGGCAUGCUCGGACUCCUAACCACGUUAGAAGGAGCAGUGUCCCGUCCAGGCGACCGUACUUCGCUCGAGCCAGCAUGUUGAUGUGCAUGCUGGUCUUGGACGCCACGAGAACCACCAGCUUGAUCUUGGCCCAGCGGACGUAUGGCGCUGCGAACGCCAUGACGCUGCUGGUCCCGCACCUCCUGAGACGGGCGCGGUAUACGCAUGGACGCCGAGGUCUGUGCCGCCUUGUCCUUGGACUUGGCCGCACUGAGAGCUCCCUCGUCGACGCCCAUUCUUCCGCCGGCAUCCACUCCACCGCCCGUUUGCUCCGGAGGCGGUGAAAGCGACGCAGACGAAACAACUGUCUCCGAAUCCUUCUUCUUCGGUGGCAUGUCGAUGAAAACGAUGAAGAUUUAGCUCGCGUGCACGCCGGAUCGGGUUCACACAAUCUCGACGCCCCCCUACCUGGCGCACCAAAGAUGUCGGGGACCUAUGGGGACCGGCGGACCGAGCCCCUUUCGGUUCGGAGGGGGGCGGAGGUCGUACGAAGAGCGGAUCGAGGCAGUGCACACGAGGGCUUUACCUAGGUUCGGGCCGCAUGGAUGCGUAAAACCCUACUCCUGCUUGCUUGAUUGUAUUGAGUUCUUGCUCAGGAGCGAUGAACGCUACCAGACCGAGCAUGGGAAUGUUCUUGGUGUUUCGAAUGAGCCGAACCUAACGGGCCCGAAUGGAACCGAACCCCCUCUACGUUGCGUUUGGGCCUCCUUUUAUACUCUCAAGGGGUCACCGACAGGUGGCAACGUAGACUAGAAGGGUAAAAAUGGAAAAGAAUGCGGUAGGUGCAGCUACCGCUACUGUGGACACAGUGUAUCCUACCUAACUCUGACGGUAGGGGACAAGGUCAUUGAAUGCCCGUCUGAGUUGCCUAAACAGUGCAAAAAGUGACCUCUAGGAGCGCCACCGUUUGCCACGAUAGCCUCCUCUUCAUCUCCGCUUGCCACCGCGUACCCCUGGCUGCACAGGCUCUCGCCACGCGCCCAUGAGAAAGUCUCAUGGUGACACGCGGGUGGGUGCGCUGGAGCGCGGGUAUAGAGUGGCAGCGGGCCCACGGCGAGUAUGUCGGGGUCGUCGUCUUGUCGCAUCCGGAAGCUUGUCGCUCGCCGGUCCUUGCCGGGACGCGCGGUGCAUCGCGGCAAGUUUCUUGAGGUGCCAUGGUUGGCCUUCCCGGCAAGCUCCUCUUGCUGGGGCCUUGUCUCUUCAUCUUAAAUACUCUGUUCUCGAAUGGCUCCAAAGGAACCUACGGAGGACCCUGGCGGUCGUCCGGCAAGCCUUGCCGCGGGGCGCUGCAACUGCCCGUGCACAAGUUCGGGAUAUUAGGGUACCCCUACUCUAGUACACCGACAGAAUCCCUUUCUACUCUCCCAUUCGCCUCUUGCUUUCCAUAAUCUGCAUCAUAAUUUAAUUUUUUAUAUUAAAUGUAAAUUCAGAUAUUUGGCUUCACAUUUUUAAAAUUUGAAGUAUUCGUGUUUACAUCCUAGCAUUGAUUAUGCCAUUGUAAUUUGAACUUUUUAGAUAAUGUCGUACAUACUUUUGUUGUUAAUGCAUGGAUCUAUAUUCAGUUCUGCAAUUUAUGUACAUUGCAUUUUUUAGGGAAUCAAACUGACAUUAGUGUAAAAAUUAUGAUGGAUGAACUUGUAAUAUAUUCUGAUUGAAUUGACAUUCAAGUUUUACCAAAUCGUAGAUUUGUGAGAAUCAUGUUUCAGACUGGUUAUUAUUCCAGAUCUGCAAUAAGAUUUUGAAACUUUUGCCCAUGCAGAAAGUCAGCUAGCUGUACACAUUUGUUAACAUCUCUAUUCAUGAAAGCAGUGUAUGGCAAUAAUAAUCUGCAUUGUUAUGUUCUUAUUUCUUGUUACGAAAUAAUGAGAAAUCCAAUCUGUAAUAUCGUUUUGUAUACAUUAUUUCCGGUCAUAUCUAGCAACACAUGGACGCCACAGUUCUGAACCAUACAUUGUAUUUUUUUAAAUCAUGAUUUGGCCCCGAUAUACAUUUACUUGAGUAACAAAAAAAUAGAAAAUCUCUUUGUAUACUAUAUUCUUUGCGCUAUCUUCGCUUGGGCACUCCGUGUCGUCAAUCAGCACCUUUAAUCCUUCUCUGCUUGUGACUCUUGAUAGUGCCACAUAUAGUUGCCCAUGGCAGAAGACUUGCCUAGGCUGUAGACCCACCAUGUUUAGGGAUUGACCUUGGCUUUUAUUUAUUGUCAUUGCAAAACAAACUGAUAGAGGAUAUUGCCUUCUUUUCAGCACGAAGGGCCACUUUGAGUCGCUUGGUGACAUAACGAUUUUAGGUAUGUAUACCUUGUCAUCGACAUGUGUUCCUGUGAUUAUUUGUGCCUCAAUGUACCUGUUUCCCAGCUGUGUAAUAGUCAUUCUUGUACCAUUGCAUAAACCUGCUGCUUGAUUGAUGUUGCGUAGGAGCAUCACCGGCAAACCUACCUUCAGUUUUAGCUCGUGGUUUGGAAUUCCUGGGAUGGUCAUGUUGUUAAGAAACUCUGUUGGACACAUAUUCUCCAUUGUGUUGUACUUCAUUGUUGCCUUGCAUACAGUGUCCAAGCUUAGGUAUGUCACCUCUUCCCCUUGUAUUUGGCUCAUUAUGUAGUCAUUUAUCUUCUCAAUUGUUUCAUUCCUUGGACAUAGUAUUGCUCUUUCUUCGAGAAAUUCACGGUCACGGUAGUUUUGUUGCAAGUUUUGGUACGUGCUUUUGACUAUCUCUUCUUUGGGGUCUUCUCCUUUAUGUAGAAUUAUGUCUUUAGGUAUUUUUACCCAAUCAUCCCCUUCAUCGUUUGUUCUUUUUCCGUCGCCAAUUUGUAAUAUCCAUUCUGCAAAUUCAGCCACAUUUUGCUUUUGUAUUGGAUCUUCUGACAGGCACUUCAACCGCACAUUUUCAGUUAGGCUAAAUAUUUCGAAGUGCUUCCAUAGGUAUGACCUUUUGAUUGAGGCAUUUACUAUUUGUUCUCUCCUUCCCUUUGUUAUGACUGGAAGUAUUUGUCUGAAGUCGCCUCCUAGCACCACGGUCAUGCCACCAAAUGGCCUUUCGUUACUGUUUUGGUUUGUGAACCUUAGAAUAUCCCUAAGGCUUUUGUCUAGUGCCUCAAAGCAGUGUUUGUUUUCCAUCGGAGCCUCGUCCCACAAUAUCAGUGAGGUCUUCUUUACCAGUUCAGCCAAAUGUGAGCCUUGUUUUAUUUCACAUGUUGAUUCUUCCGUGAUAUUUAUUGGAAUGUGGAAUCUUGAGUGCGCUGUUCUUCCACCUUGGAGCAGCAAAGCUGCAAUGCCAGAUGAUGCUACCGCAAGCACUAUCUUUCCCUCUGAUCGUAGUUUCGUUGUAAUUGCUUUCCAUAGAAAAGGUUUGCCUGUGCCACCAUAGCCUUCUACAAAUAUCUAUUUUCCUUGUCCUCUCUCAGCUGACUCUAUUAUUGCAUCAAAGGCCAUUUUCUGGUCAUGGUUAAGAUUGCUUAUUAUGGUUUGGUGCUCACUCUUUAGUGCUUCCAUGUCGUAGCUAAGUUCUUCAUUUAUCAUUCUGUUCCCAAGUUGUUCAAGUUCUGUAGCAUUUGGUAGUUCUAUGUCUGGAUAGUCCUUUAGUGUCUUUCCUGCUUGCCUCAUUACGUUCUCUAUCUCGAUCAGAGCAUAUGCUUUUUUUAGAAUCAGUGAGCUGCAGCGUAGGAAAGUUUAGGAUAAUUCUUCUUUUGUACUGGAUAUCUUCAGAUAGUGCCUCCCAUGUUGAAUCCCACAACAUCUUUGGGCUGGUAACCUCACAAUGGCGUAAAAUUGUGCUGAAUAGCUGUCGUAAUUGUGUCCCUGAUCCCCAUGUUGAUGCUUCAUUGAUGCAUUCAAUCCACUCACUAUCAUCAUCAAGAAAACCAAGCGCCUGGCAUGCUGAUUUGUAUGUUGGGUGAACAACUUCAUUAACUGUUCUAAUAUCCACAAAUGAUGUGCAUCCUUUCUUUGUGUUUAGAAGCAUUCUCAUAUAAUACCGCUCUCCACUUGCAGGGUGUGCAUAGUAGAUUCUACCAAUAGCAAAGCCUCUUUUCCGCUCCUCCCAUGUUUUGGUGUCACUUUUCCAUACAAAUUUUGAUGGGAAUUCUGAAUAGGUUAAUUCUUUCCCACCUCAUGUAUUUUGUUUGCCUCCAUCCACUCAGUGAACUUAGUACUUGCGGUUCCUGGCUUUCUUACUAUCUUCUCGAUGUCAGUUGAGUCUGGAAAAAUAACUUGUUGUUCAUUUUCAAUGUGGAAUGGCAGUCUCUCACUGGUGGAUCACGAUGGUGUAGAUCAAACUGGAAUAUCCGCCAGCAUGCUUCAGUUGUUGAUAUGUAUAUCAUCUCUAGGUAUUUCUUGAUUUCAUCAUAGUUGUUUGCCGCGUCUCUUUCCUUUAGUAAGGCUAUUACUUGGUCGCCGUCUUUAUGGAUGUACUUAAAUAGGUACUUGAUUGACCUGGACCUGUUGCACCACUCGACAUUUAUGUGAGCUUGGAAUUUGACCAAAAGCUUUUGGUUGUAUGGCACAACAAAUCUGUUGUCGAGCAUUGCUCCUCCCUUUUUGAUCGUCCUUCCAUUGUCGCGCCUUCUAUAUACUGGAAAGCCAUCCUCAUCGAUUGUGGUAUCGACAUUAUAUCGUUUUGGGAAGUGUUUAGUGCAUCUAUUGUCCAUCAUGCAUGGUGAUUUUGUAGUUGCCUCUCCGCAAGGCCCGUGCAUCAUGAAGUUUUCAACAGCUGCAUAUCCAUCAGGAUCGACAUCUUUGUGUGGGAUCUCCGCACUGAUUAUUUGAUCGAUUUCUGAUGGUCCUUUGCACUUGUAAUUCUCCUUGAGGAAUACCAAUAUGUGCGCAUGCGGGAGUCCCCUCUUCUGGAACUCUAUUGUGUAGAUAACUGCAUUGAUUAAAAGUUUGAUUUUGUUAGAUUUAUGAAGCAUUUUAGUAAAUAGACAAAGGCUAUGGUGUGCUAAAAAAUUUAAACUUUAGGAUCUAUUAGUUAGCGAUGAGAAGUCGGCUGAUCUUACUUGAUAUAGUUUCUCCAAAGUGUUUCUUCACAACGAUAUCUCUCAUUAGCUCCUUCAGUUUUAUCAUGAAUACUCGGUCAACAAUAUCUGGCCGGUCGGCUGGAUUUAGGCCUCCUCCUGCUUCAUCUAGCAUGUAUUGGAUCUCGGGCCACUUCGCGUUGCAUGUGAAUGUUAUAAAUAGGUCUGGAUAUCCAGCCCAACGGCAUAUUGCAAAAGUGUCUUGCAAGUUCUGUGCCUUGUUUCUUCUGCCUCCUAUAUAAGAUGAAGGUACAAUUAUCCUCUUUCCAACCUGCUCUGUUCUGGUGUCCCCUUGCUCAAUCGCGUCCUGCAGUCCACUGUAAAGUUCAGUUCGUAGCUUCCCUUGAUUAUUCCUGAUCCAAUUUAGUUUGUUUUGCUCAAUGCAUGUGUAAACAUCUACCCAAAAUUGCAGAGAUAGAUGUCUAGACGUUAGCAGCGACAUUCCUUGGUCGGGUCUUUGCUGUAGGUAGGAUGCGUAGUAGUCCAGCAUAGUUACAUAUUUCCUGCUUUUGUCACCUUCUUUUGUUUGCUUGUAAGGUAUUUCAAGCUUGAAGCCGUCUUCUCCAUAUGGAAACAACAAUGGGUAUUGCAUCGACAUUAAUUUUGGAUGGAUUUCCGAUAUUCUGUGAGGCUCCAUAUUUUUGUACUCGACAACGAUAUCUCGUCCUUCGCUCUCUCCAGUUGGGUCUCUUACAACCAAUGCUGCAACUUCCGAUGUAGAUGGAAGGUUGUGUGUUCAGUUCCUUUUCCCAAGUAUUCUAAGUGUGUAAUCAUGGUAGUAUUCUUCUUUGAAUCUAUCUCUUGCCAUUCUGAAAGAUUUUGCGAGGAUGUUGUUCUCAUCAAGCAUUUUUUCUAGUUAUUUGACAAUGGCAGGGUCCACCGUUGAUUUAUUAUCAUUGCAUCUUGAAGCAUCUAUCGUGUUUUGCACCUCAUUUUCUGUCUGAUAAAUGUAAAGCUGGGAAAAUCGAGGUUUGUUACCUUCUUCAGGUAGAAGAGUUCCAAUAUGGUGAUAGUUCUGGCCAUGCAGUCUAAAAACAUAUGGUCCUUUGCCUUUGUUUAUUUCUUUGUGAAUGAGAACAUUGAGUUGUAUGACCUGAUAUUUUCUCUGAAGUUUGUUGCAUCACUUCCUUCACCUGUUAAUAAUCCUGCGAGGUAAGGUGGAGGGUGUGCCAUCUUUGGUAGGUCAAUCUUACCUUGUUUGCAGCAAAUUCCGAAAGAAGGUUUUUUGGUUCCUCUAUGAGAAUUUAAUCUUUCUUCACACCAUAGUAUUGCAUUGCAAUGUUCACAUCUAUAUGUUGGCUUUUCAAAGUUCCAUAUUUUGCUAUAAUAACUCUCGGACGUAGUGCUGCUGUUUGUUUCUUUGAUGUUGCUUCCAAGGUCAUUGUCGCUCCCACUUGUUCUUGCAUGCUUCACAUUUGUUCUUUCUUUGAUUUGUUCCUUUCUCUUCCGUGAAGCAUCUUCUUCUUUUUUAUUGGUUGUUUCCUGUGUAUUCCUGCAUCUCUUACUCCUUUUUUCUUGGAGUUGUUGUUUCCUCCUGAUAAUAGCUUCUCUAGCUUCUUUUGUAAGUUGGCCUGCGGAUUUUGAGGUGUACUGUCCCUUCAUUUCUGCAUUGAAUAUUCUUUUAGCAAUAUAGUACCAUAUAUUUGAAAGCUACUUUAUGCACAAUGUCGUCAAGAAAGUAACAGUAUAUGCACUAAAUAGGAGAUGCCGGCUGCAUGUAGAAACAACCUAUAAUACUUAUCGAUCAUGCUUUCAGUAUUAUUCUGUUGUGUGGGUCGAGCUGCAGAGGAUGGCAUUAUUGCUGUGACUGUGUGCUUCUCAGUGAGCGACAGUUGCUCCUUGGGAAUUACUACGGCGAAGUACUCUCUAAAAUCAUUUUAGCACUAUACAUAAAAUUAUUAGGUUCUGCAAUUUUUUCUAAGGGCUAUCUUUCAAAUAUAUAUGUUAGAGAAGUACCAAUAGUGUGCAUUACAUGAAGAUAGAAAAAGGUCAAUGAUAUACCUGAUUGUGUUUUCUUGUAUUUUUUUAAAUUUUUGUAAAGCUUCACACGCCUGUGCUAAUUAUUGUCGUAAUUGUAUCUUUGCUUCAAAGCAAAUCCUGUAGCGAUCCUGGAAAAUAUUUUGUACCAUGUACAAAUGAUUAGAGCAUAUCUUUGUAUUGCUGCCAUGACUUUAUCAUUCUUUGUGUCAGUUUUAGUUCAUAACAGAAGCUGGUACUGUUUUCGCAAAGAAAAUAGUGUUUAUGUCUAGAUCAAAGGCAAGACGUGUAAGAAUAGUUUUCUUAGUUAGUAUUAUAAUUAUAUGCCUAAAUGUGAAACAAUGUAAUAAUGAAUAAAAAAAUCAUGAGGUCGCUUUGAACUGCUGAUAGUAGUAGUUUUCCACGGAAGGCAUUUACCUUCUAAUCUGAAGUCUGGCAAGCUUGAUUCGUGUGCAAGUUCUUCCAGCGAUUAAAUCUAGGUCGAUUCUAAUUAAUCUUGUCGACUUUGUUUUUGACGGGCCGAUGAUCCAAAGGUAUAGAUGAUAUGAUCCCUUGGUUAAUCGAAGUGUAAGUUCCGGCUAUUUAAGGGUAGUACGCUAGCACGUCCUCGUAUCAGCCUAUUUGAUAAGGAGUCGGAACCGAGUUUGUAACGAUCACGGUAUAGAGAGAUAAAUUCCAAACCCAAGUUUACAUACCCCAUAUAUUGAAGCCUAUUCAGGCCCAACAGUUUUAUUGCAGGCCCAUGUUAGUCAUUUAGAAAAUGACCAGCCCGUAUAAACCAACCCGUACAGGUCAUCGUGUACGUGGAACUCUCCUCUUUUAUAAAAGAAAAAAUCUCUCAGCUCAGUCGAUCCCCACCAGUAACCUUAUCCAUCCGCCUGCACCACCUCUCCAUUAUCCAGCUGAUGAAGAUCUCGUCGCUUGCCAUCAGCGGACUAAUUCCCAAACCAUUGCGACUGCACUUCUCCAUUAAUUUCUUCCAACUUCUCUUCGUCUGGCGCAGUUUGCCGUUGUGUGGAGUGCACGGACGCGUUCGUCGCGUUCUCAAGGAUCUAGAUCCUAGACGACCUCGUGGAGUUCGGUGGAGCGUUCUCAAGGGUUUCGGCCAAGAUGACAUGGCCGACGGCUAGAAAACCAUGGCAGAGGUGUUGUAGUUUGGCCCAGUGGAGGAGGCUGUGAGGGAACUCACCGAGUCACCUGCUGGUGGUGAAUGAUUGGAUCUGACUACCGUGAGAUGAUGUCCUCCUCACUGUUCUUGCUGUCAGACUACUUUAAAUGUAAUUGCAAACUGAUGAUAUGCAUCCUUUGUACCGAAGAUUAAUUCUUGUUUAUUUUCUUAAGCUGUAAAGGCCUUAUCUUCUAAUGUUUUAAUAUGUCACCUUGGAUAUUAAUUUUUGUAUAGGUUUGUUGUGCAAAAGCUAACUUGUUGAAUUUUCUGAAGUAACGUCUAGUAACCACAUCAAGUAACGGAGAAACAUAUUCCAGUUGCCAGCAAGACGCCAUUGACUUGCUUAUCACUGGUAUGUUCCUCUAUAUGGCGAUGGUCUGGUAUAGAUUUGCCAAAUUAUAAUUUCUUCAAAUUGUGACUUGAAUCCUAAUGUGGAAACUAUGCUCCUGUAGUGUGUUUCUACCUAUUGUGCCGGUUUGUACAUAUUUGCUGAAAAUAGCUUGUACAUAAAGGAAAGUACAUGAAGAAAGUAAAUCAAUCUGUUUUAGAACAUUGGUAACAUUCACACUCUUAAUAUAAUAAUAUCCUUCUUAUCCAAGUCGAUGUCAAAUACUCUUACUUAUCUUGGUCGAUACAAAUAGACUAUUGUACUAUUUAUUUCAUAAGCUACUGAUCCACUAAUUACCUAGAUGUCUAAGAACAUUGGUAACACUCACACCCUUAAUCUAAUAAUAUCCUUCUUAUCCUCAUCCAUGUCAAGUACUCUUACUUAUCAUGUUCAUAAGCUACUGAUCCACUAAUUAUCUAGAUAACAUCCUUGUUCUCCUGGGCCUUGCUUUCUGUACUUCAUCUUCAUCUUCAAGCAUUGUAUUUUUGGCUUUUGCUUUAACACAUUUCUUGUUACCGCGGACACCUUUUUCAUUUUGUUUAGGCAUAUUCGUCUCAAUGCAUUCAUCCUCCGAGUCAUCUGAUAUUACAACAGAUCUCAGUCUCCUUUUAUUGCCACUUCGGAGCUCACGGGAUGAUGACGAUAUUUUGUCUUGACUCUUAUCUUUGUUUAAUGUAGUCCCAUUGCUGUCAUGUGGCUCCUCUUUCACAGGCACCAGUUCGCAUGAAAGUUCGCCAGGUGAAACUUUAUUAUUCUUUGACUGCAAACAUAUACAUUUUUAAAAUUAGACACAUCUAUAAAAUCUAAAGUGUGUAUAUAGUUUUAAAAAAUCAAUCACCUUUCUAUCUAGCAUGUUCUGCUUCUUCAUUAAUACGAUGUCAACCUCAUCAUCCAUCAGUUCCUGUGCAACAUAUGUAAGAUUAAUUAGUUAAGGAAUUCUAAAAAUGGUAAAAAGUUAAUGCAACUUUACCUCCUCGGCUUUAUUGUCCAAGUAGAGCAUCUCAAGCUUAUCAUCAGAAACAAAUGUUCUUUUUACUGCAUAGUUUUGUGUGCCAAAUGUGAGAUUACUAUCAUUGAGCUUGAAUCGAAAUAUAAGUCUUUUUCCACAUAAUUGUUGAAUAAUCUUUGGCGCUUCUUCUAAUUUCCCAUCUAGUGUGUCCAGCAACUUAGAUGCAGACAUAUUAAGCAAUCUUGCAGCCUCCUCGUCAAAUAAAGUGCAGCUUGUAGUAGAUGUAUGGUCACUAAUUUGGAGACGAACAUGAUACCUAACAUACAAUUCAUGUUAGUGGAGAGUAAAUACAAUAUAACAAUGCUUGUUCAUAUUUUAGUAAUAUAAUAUGCUUACCGUGGUGUGACCUUUUCUGGAUAUAUACCACAAUUCUUGCAAUAAUACUUGUCGGUUUCUUUAGUAGCCAAUUUGUGACACUUACACAUGACAUGUACCACCAUUGAAUAUUUUCUUGCAAACAGUCUAUUGUAGCUAUUGUUGUGAAGACAAAAUUCUAAAAAAAAUCAACGUUAGCAUUGGGGUAGGGGUAGGGGAUUAAGAGACAUAUAUAAGUACAUUAUGGUUUCAUUAUAAUUAAUAUUGAAUGAAUUGUCCUUGCAUGUAUUUUACUCAUAUUACAAAGACUAAUGACAUAUUUAUUGAAAUUCGAUGCAUUACCUGGUCUGGCUGGUUUUCGUGCCUCAUUGUAGUAAGUUGUUCCAAUGUUUUCCUCCUAUAAAACAUUUGUUCUUCUAGUGUUCCUUGAUUACUCCUAUCUAUACCGAUCAUUUUUGGUAAGGUUUCUUCUGUCGAGUCCCUGCACAUGCAUGAAGUGAAUAAUAAUAUUGAAUCUUAAAUGAACGUGAGUCACUAUUUAUAAGUGGAAAAUAAAUAAAUUGGUGGUAUUUCAUACCUAUCAAGAAGUUCUUGUGUUUCUGGUAUAUCCAGAUCUAUAUAUAUUCUUGUGGCACUGGUUGACUUUAGGCACAGACCUAUUUAAUCCAUCAGUUAGAAUUUUAAAUGAUAAAAAUAACAUGUAAGUUUUAUGGAUUUACCAUUAAAUCUCUGUACCAUCGUUGAUGUAAUAAUAAGGACAGUUUGGCUGCCGAUUACAUCCUCGGUCAAAAAAUAAGCAAACUUUCCCCAUAACGUGAUUCUGAUUUUAUCACCCCAAAAGCAUUUAAUACGAGAAGUUAGUGCACACGGGGAGGUUUGGUUAAAUUUGAGACAUGCAUAUGCAUAUGCACUUACUCUGGCAUUAGGAUUUCAAUCUCGCGGAUAUAUGAAGGUUGUUGGUUCUUCUUUGUUAUUCUUGUCUCCACAGGCUUCAUUUGUGUUAGUAGUCCAAUGACAUCUGCAUAUUUGGAUAUUAGUGAUAUAACAAUUAGAAUAUCAACUAUUUCGAAGUCGAAAUUACAACUAUAAACAUACCUGAGCAUUGUGUAUCUUUUUCUGCCCUUUCUUCUAGUGUCUCGAUGGUAGCAAACUCGAAGCAAUAAUCUGGGAAAACUUCUGAAGAUUCUUUUAUCUCCUUUACCUUUGUAUUGUAUGCAAAAAAUAUUUUAAUGUCAUUGCUCACUGGCCUAUAUUUUGUGGAUUCCACGACCUUAAAAUUGCUGAAUGCAUAAAUAGAUUUUUCAUUGAUCUUUGAUCUAAAAGCGUCUAUAAGAUUCUUCCAGAUAGUAACAUGGAUUAUUUCACCCUGCUGAAAGAAUAAAAUAUGGUUAGUAAUUGUUGCUUCAUGUGACAGAAAGAUUCCAAUUAAAUAUAUUAAAAAACAAACCUGCUCAUCCAUUAGUAUCAUAUCUAGGCUAAUAAGCUCAUCGGUCGUAGGAUUGAUCGAAUCCCACAUUCUCAUUACUUUCACUUGAAUGUUCCAAUUUUGUCCCCUUGUAGUUAAGUCGCUCAACUUCUUGUAUGCCAUAGUGUUAUGUCUUCAAAAUUAACAGGAACAAUUUGUCAGUUGAUAUACUAUUUAUGAAGAUUUCUAACGAAAAGAAAGUAAGCAUACUAAAUAAAAUUACCAAUCUGAUGAUGCAGGCCAGAAGUGCUUUGCGGUCACUUCUUUCGACGUGGAUUGUAGCAGCUGGGCGUAACUUUGUCGGGCGUCGACUGUGCUCUGGCGUGACUUUGUUGGAAGUCAAAAGAAGCGGCUGGAGGUGGCUUUCGGUGUGGAUGUCGAGUUGUGUGUGCCUUGUUCAAGUCGUCGUGGUUGCCGACUUCUACUUGUUUGUUGGGUGCUUGUGCGGCCAGGUGCACUUGUUUAUAUAAUGGGUUAAGGUGUCUAGGUUGGGGUGUCCGAGACCGUGUGGAGAUCAUAUUGUAAACUUGUCUUAUCUGCAUGUAAUCGUUUCUGUUUUGGAACUUUCCUCACGUGGUCUGGUGGCUGUCCUUAUUUGUUUAGAUUCCUUAUUUGUCUAGGUUUGACUAUUGUUUGUUGUUAUCCUUGACCCAUUGAUGUGAAGGUUUUUUUUGUUUGUGCGUGCUAGUUUUGUUUCGAUGGACCUGAACGCUCUUUUAAACCUGUGUGCACUAUUUGUAUGUGCCAUGUUCUAAUACUUGUACGUGUACAUAUUUUUUACGUAAUGUUUGCAUCUUUUAAUCUCAGCCAUCGAUAAACAAAAUUAAGGAUCAAGAUAAUUUAAUCUAUGUGGACGCACGUGGUGUCUUGUUUGACUCUUGUUUUAAUUAAAUAAUAGAUAAGUCCAAAACAUCCAUUUUUGUUCUUAUUUAUGUUGAUGAUAUUAUUGUCACAAGUUCAUCUAAUGAAGCAGUGACAGGAUUGUUGAAGGACCUAAGUGCUGAGUUUGCUCUUAAAGAUCUGGGAGACCUACAUUUCUUCCUAGGGAUUGAGGUAAAGAACACUGAAGAUGGCCUUCAUCUCUCUCAGGAAAAGUAUGCUGCUGAUUUGGUAAGAAGAGUUGGCUUACAAGGAUGUAAAGCCUCUCCAACUCCUUUGUCUAGCACAGAAAAAUUGUCACUUGAAGAGGGAGAUCUCUUGGGUCAAGAGGAUAGUACUAGAUAUAGAAGUCUAGUAGGAGCACUCCAGUACCUCACCUUAACAAGGCCAGAUAUAUCCUUUGCAGUAAACAAAGUAUGCCAAUUUCUUCAUGCACCUACUACUAUUCAUUGGACUGCUGCCAAGCGCAUAGUGAGAUAUGUGAAAGAUACUAUGAAUCUUGGUCUUACAUUCACCAAAUCUUCAUAAACUCUUGUCAGUGCUUUUUCUGACUCUGAUUGGGCAGGAUGUAUAGAUGACAGACGCUCCACUAGUGGAUUUGCAGUUUUCUUUGGACCAAAUCUUAUAUCAUGAUGUGCAAAGAAACAAGCUACUAUAUCAUGAUCUACCACUGAAGCUGAGUAUAAAGCAUUAGCAAAUGCCACUGCUGAGAUUAUCUGGGUUCAGUCCAUGUUGAGAGAGAGCUGGGUGUGAAGCACACUAAAACUCCAUGUUUAUGGUGUGACAAUCUAGGCGCUACUUAUUUAUCUGCUAACCCAAUUUUUCAUGCCAGAACAAAACACAUCAAGAUAGAUUUCCAUUUUGUCAGAGAAAGAGUUGCAAAGAGACAAUUGGAUAUUCGUUUUGUGCAUUCACGAGAUCAGGAUGCAGAUGGCUUCACAAAAGCAUUGCCUACAAAAAGUUUUGAAGAGUUCAAGCGUAAUCUCAACUUGACCAAGUUGUGAUUAAGGGAGGGUGUUAAAUAACAUUGUAUGGUGUCAAGGUGGUUCGGCAGGCCCAGCUCAAGAUGGUUCGGUUAGCCAACCGCAUAGGCUAGAUAGACUAGAUAAAUAUUCUCUGUAACAAUAUUCUCUCUCUAGUUUAUCCCUCGUACUCCAAGUAGCUUAUCCCUUGUAUCUCAAGUCUCUAUCCCAACAACUUGUACGCUAUCAGGGAGUCGCGCCCCUGUCUUUAUAACA